rnacentral:rRNA from 1 species
AUUGAACGCUGGCGGCAGGCCUAACACAUGCAAGUCGAACGGUAGCACAAAGAGCUUGCUCUCGGGUGACGAGUGGCGGACGGGUGAGUAAUGUCUGGGAAACUGCCCGAUGGAGGGGGAUAACUACUGGAAACGGUAGCUAAUACCGCAUAACGUCUUCGGACCAAAGUGGGGGACCUUCGGGCCUCACACCAUCGGAUGUGCCCAGAUGGGAUUAGCUAGUAGGUGGGGUAAUGGCUCACCUAGGCGACGAUCCCUAGCUGGUCUGAGAGGAUGACCAGCCACACUGGAACUGAGACACGGUCCAGACUCCUACGGGAGGCAGCAGUGGGGAAUAUUGCACAAUGGGCGCAAGCCUGAUGCAGCCAUGCCGCGUGUAUGAAGAAGGCCUUCGGGUUGUAAAGUACUUUCAGCGGGGAGGAAGGCGAUGGAGUUAAUAGCUUCAUCGAUUGACGUUACCCGCAGAAGAAGCACCGGCUAACUCCGUGCCAGCAGCCGCCGUAA